CUACGGGGCGCAGCAGUGAGGAGUAUUGCACAAUGGGGGGAACCCUGAUGCAGCAACGCCGCGUGCAGGAUGACGCAUUUCGGUGUGUAAACUCCUUUUAUAUGUCAAGAAAAUGACGGUAGCAUAUGAAUAAGCACGGCUAACUCCGUGCCAGCAGCCGCGGUAAUACGGAGGGUGCAAGCGUUACUCGGAAUCACUGGGCGUAAAGGACGCGUAGGCGGGUUGGAAAGUCAGGUGUGAAAUCCUACAGCUUAACUGUAGAACUGCACUUGAAACUUCUAAUCUAGAGUAUGGGAGGGGGAGAUGGAAUUAGUGGUGUAGGGGUAAAAUCCGUAGAUAUCACUAGGAAUACCUAAAGCGAAGGCGAUCUCCUGGAACAUUACUGACGCUAAGGCGUGAAAGCGUGGGGAGCAAACAGGAUUAGAUACCCUCGUAGUC
rnacentral:rRNA from 1 species